AGCGAACGCUGGCGGCAGGCCUAACACAUGCAAGUCGAACGAAGCCUUCGGGCUUAGUGGCGGACGGGUGAGUAACACGUGGGAACGUACCUUUUGGUUCGGAACAACUCAGGGAAACUUGAGCUAAUACCGGAUGAGCCCUUAGGGGGAAAGAUUUAUCGCCGAAAGAGCGGCCCGCGUUAGAUUAGCUAGUUGGUGUGGUAAAGGCUCACCAAGGCAACGAUCUAUAGCUGGUCUGAGAGGAUGAUUAGCCACACUGGGACUGAGACACGGCCCAGACUCCUACGGGAGGCAGCAGUGGGGAAUCUUGCGCAAUGGGCGAAAGCCUGACGCAGCCAUGCCGCGUGAAUGAUGAAGGUCUUAGGAUUGUAAAAUUCUUUUACCAGGGACGAUAAUGACGGUACCUGGAGAAAAAGCCCCGGCUAACUUCGUGCCAGCCGCCGCCGUAAUAC
rnacentral:rRNA from 1 species